UUGCCAGCCGCCGCGGUAAUACGGAGGGUGCAAGCGUUAUCCGGAUUCAUUGGGUUUAAAGGGUGCGCAGGCGGAUUAUUAAGUUAGUGGUGAAAUCCCGGGGCUCAACCUCGGAACUGCCAUUAAUACUGGUAAUCUGGAAUACGGUUGAAGUUGGCGGAAUGUAGCAUGUAGCGGUGAAAUGCAUAGAGAUGCUACAGAACACCGAUCGCGAAGGCAGCUCACUAAGCCGAUAUUGACGCUCAGGCACGAAAGCGUGGGGAGCGAACAGGAUUAGAUACCCUGGUAGUCCACGCCGUAAACGGUGAUAACUCGUUGUUGGCGACACACAGUCAGCGACUAAGCGAAAGCGAUAAGUUAUCCACCUGGGGAGUACGAUCGCAAGGUUGAAACUCAAAUGAAUUGACGG
rnacentral:rRNA from 1 species